UUAAUGUCUUGUAAUUGGAAUGAUGGGAAUUUAAACCUCUUCCAGAGUAUCAAUUGGAGGGCAAGUCUGGUGCCAGCAGCCGCGGUAAUUCCAGCUCCAAUAGCGUAUAUUAAAAUUGUUGCAGUUAAAAAGCUCGUAGUUGAAUUUCUGCUGCAUUACAUAUCUCUUGUUUGAGUUUGUUUUUGUGGCUUAUUUCGGUUUGAUUUUUUCUUUCCGGAUGAUUACUUUGAGAAAAUUAGAGUGCUCAAAGCAGGCUUUUGCCUUGAAUAGUUUAGCAUGGAAUAAUAAAGUAGGACUUUGGUUCUAUUUUGUUGGUUUUAGGUACCAAAGUAAUGGUUAAUAGGAACAGUUGGGGGCAUUCGUAUUUAACUGUCAGAGGUGAAAUU
rnacentral:rRNA from 1 species